GAAGCAAAGCCAGACACCCAUGGAGAGCUCACCAUGGCCUGGGUCCUGCUCCUCCUUGGCCUUCUCAGCUACUUCUCAGGUGCCCGUUCACAGCCAACAGUGACCCAGCCUGCCUCUGCCUCCGCAUCUCCGGGACAAACCGUGAAACUCUCCUGCACCAGUAGCAGUGGUGGGAGUUGGGGCAGCUUCUCUUGGUAUCAACAGAAACCAGGACAGGCCCCUCGCUUUGUGCUCUACGGUUCCAGCACCCGGGGAGAAGGGAUCCCGGAUCGAUUCAUUGGUUCAACCUCUGGGAACACUGGCUAUUUAACAAUCACUGACAUUCAGGCUGAUGACGAGGGAGAUUAUUACUGUGCUGCUUGGUAUGGAACUGAUGAUGUGUUUCAUGGUGGUGCAGUCUGAUGGGGAACUAAGACAGAAACCUUCAGAGCAAAGAAAGAAAAUUGCAACAGAUGCUACAGCAUCACUCUCUCCUGUCCCAUAAUACUCCUUUUUUCCCAUUGGACUAUAAACUGAUAUUUGUUGGUUCAUCGUUUUUUUAAAAAACUUUUAAUCUUUAUUGCGUUUAAAAAAGCAAUUAUAAAAAUAAGUAAACAAU